AUUGAACGCUGGCGGCAGGCCUAACACAUGCAAGUCGAGCGAGCGGCGUACGGGUGAGUAAUGUCUGGUACACUGCCUGCUGGAGUGGCAUAUCUACUGGAAACCGUAUCUAUUCCCGCCUACCAUCUGAUGUUCCCAGAUGGGAUUAGCUAGUAGGUGGGGUAAUGUCCCACCUCGUCGACGAUCCCUAGCUGGUCUGAGAGGAUGUCCAGCCACCCUGGAACUGAGACACGGUGCAGACUCCUACGGGAGGCAGCAGUGGGGAAUAUUGCGCAAGGGGCGCAAGCCUUAGGCAGCCAUGCCGCGUGUGUGAAGAAGGCCUUCGGGUUGUAAAGCACUUUCAGCGGGUGGGCGUUACCCGCAGAAGAAGCAACGGCUAAAUACGAGCCAGCAGCCGCGGUAAUUC
rnacentral:rRNA from 1 species